rnacentral:rRNA from 1 species
UACGUAGGGGGCAAGCGUUGUCCGGAAUCAUUGGGCGUAAAGCGCGUGUAGGCGGUUCGGUAAGUCUGCUGUGAAAGUCCAGGGCUCAACCCUGGGACUGCGGUGGAUACUGUCGGACUAGAGUGCGGAAGAGGCGAGUGGAAUUCCCGGUGUAGCGGUGAAAUGCGCAGAUAUCGGGAGGAACACCAAUUGCGAAGGCAGGUCGCUGGGCCGUUACUGACGCUGAGACGCGAAAGCGUGGGGAGCAAACAGG